rnacentral:rRNA from 1 species
UCUUUACAUUACUAUUAGAUUUAAGAUUAAUUGUUAGUUUAUUGUCUUCUAAAUUUUUAAUAAUGUUUUGUUGGGGCAACAUAGAUAGCAUAUUUAUCUGUUUAAAAGAAUUACAGAAAAUACCUGAAUAAAUAAGACAAGAUCCUUUAUAGAGAUUUCAAGAUUAAGUU